CCCUUAGAUGUUCUGGGCCGCACGCGCGCUACACUGACGGAGCCAACGAGUACUUUCCUUGUCCGGAAGGACUGGGUAAUCUUGUGAAACUUCGUCGUGCUGGGGAUAGAGCAUUGCAAUUAUUGCUCUUCAACGAGGAAUUCCUAGUAAGCGUGAGUCAUCAGCUCGCGUUGAUUACGUCCCUGCCCUUUGUACACACCGCCCGUCGCUCCUACCGAUUGGGUGAGCCGAUGAAACUCUCGGAUGUAGGCUAUUCAUAGCCCGCAGAAGAGAUUUGAAUCGUAGCGCUUAGAGGAAGGAGAAGUCGUAACA
rnacentral:rRNA from 1 species